rnacentral:rRNA from 1 species
CUCGGUUGUAAACCUCUUUCAGUAGGGAAGAAGCGAAAGUGACGGUACCUGCAGAGAAGCACCGGCUAACUACGUGCCAGCAGCCGCGGUAAUACGUAGGGUGCGAGCGUUAUCCGGAAUUAUUGGGCGUAAAGAGCUCGUAGGCGGUUUGUCGCGUCUGUCGUGAAAGUCCGGGGCUUAACCCCGGAUCUGCGGUGGGUACGGGCAGACUAGAGUGCAGUAGGGGAGACUGGAAUUCCUGGUGUAGCGGUGGAAUGCGCAGAUAUCAGGAGGAACACCGAUGGCGAAGGCAGGUCUCUGGGCUGUAACUGACGCUGAGGAGCGAAAGCAUGGGGAGCGAACAGGAUUAGAUACCCUGGUAGUCCAUGCCGUAAACGUUGGGCACUAGGUGUGGGGACCAUUCCACGGUUUCCGCGCCGCAGCUAACGCAUUAAGUGCCCCGCCUGGGGAGUACGGCCGCAAGGCUAAAACUCAAAGGAAUUGACGGGGGCCCGCACAAGCGGCGGAGCAUGCGGAUUAAUUCGAUGCAACGCGAAGAACCUUACCAAGGCUUGACAUGUUCUCGAUCGCCGUAGAGAUACGGUUUCCCCUUUGGGGCGGGUUCACAGGUGGUGCAUGGUUGUCGUCAGCUCGUGUCGUGAGAUGUUGGGUUAAGUCCCGCAACGAGCGCAACCCUCGUUCCAUGUUGCCAGCACGUAAUGGUGGGGACUCAUGGGAGACUGCCGGGGUCAACUCGGAGGAAGGUGAGGACGACGUCAAAUCAUCAUGCCCCUUAUGUCUUGGGCUUCACGCAUGCUACAAUGGCCGGUACAAUGGGUUGCGAUACUGUGAGGUGGAGCUAAUCCCAAAAAGCCGGUCUCAGUUCGGAUUGGGGUCUGCAACUCGACCCCAUGAAGUCGGAGUCGCUAGUAAUCGCAGAUCAGCAACGCUGCGGUGAAUACGUUCCCGGGCCUUGUACACACCGCCCGUCAAGUCACGAAAGUCGGUAACACCCGAAGCCGGUGGCCUAACCCUUGUGGGGGGAGCCGUCGAAGGUGACCCG